AAGUUUUCCAACAUAAAGUAAUAAAUAUAUUGGAGGAGCACCAAGUUCUACCACAGAUACUGAUUAGUCAAGGGUGCCCUAGGGUAAAGGGAACCAACCACAUGUAUACAGACAAAUAAUUCAAGCGGUAGUCAUUUAAACUCCCUUCCACUGCCAAUAUCUCCAGUUUGUUCUUAUCAAGCAAAUGGCAUUUGAUUAAGGCUAAAGCAUGACGGGUUAUUACAUCACGAGAGGCAUUGGGUUUUAUGCACCGCUGGCAUACAGGCGACUUCAAUUUACCUGUUUCAACAGCUUCUGCUUCAUUGGCUUUCCAGUGCUUUGCAAUGUUAUCAGAGAGAGGAUCAUCAGGGUUUGGUGCACUUAGGAGCAACGGGGGAGAGACCUCAAAAGAACUGUCCGAAUCUGAAGGGCUGGGCUCCAUUUGUCCUUGAGAAUGUCAAGGCAUAUCCUACCAAGCU
rnacentral:sRNA from 1 species